GCCCACCUAGCUCAGUCGGUAGAGCACGUCCUUGGUAAGGACGAGGUCUCGGGUUCGAGCCCCGAGGUGGGCU
rnacentral:tRNA from 1 species